rnacentral:rRNA from 1 species
UGGGGAAUUGUUCGCAAUGGGCGCAAGCCUGACGACGCAACGCCGCGUGGAGGAUGAAGGUCUUCGGAUUGUAAACUCCUGUUGCCCGGGACGAAUGGCUUCAACCUAAUACGUUGGAGUGUGACGGUACCGGGUGAGGAAGCCCCGGCUAACUCUGUGCCAGCAGCCGCGGUAAUACAGAGGGGGCAAGCGUUGUUCGGAAUUACUGGGCGUAAAGGGCGCGUAGGCGGCCUGCUAAGUCGAACGUGAAAUCCCUGGGCUCAACCCAGGAACUGCGUCCGAUACUGGUUGGCUUGAAUCCGGGAGAGGGAUGUGGAAUUCCAGGUGUAGCGGUGAAAUGCGUAGAUAUCUGGAGGAACACCGGUGGCGAAGGCGACAUCCUGGACCGGUAUUGACGCUGAGGCGCGAAAGCCAGGGGAGCAAACGGGAUUAGAUACCCCGGUAGUCCUGGCCCUAAACGAUGAAUGCUUGGUGUGGUGGGUAUCGAUCCCUACCGUGCCGAAGCUAACGC